GGAUGAGAUGAGCGAAAGCCUGACGCAGCCAUGCCGCGUGUAUGAUGAAGGUCUUAGGAUUGUAAAAUACUUUCACUGGUGAAGAUAAUGACUGUAGCCGGAGAAGAAGCCCCGGCUAACUUCGUGCCAGCAGCCGCGGUAAUACGAAGGGGCGUAGCGUUGCUCGGAAUUACUGGGCGUAAAGGGAGCGUAGGCGGACAUUUAAGUCAGAGGUGAAAUCCCGGAGCUUAACUUCGGAACUGCCUUUGAU
rnacentral:rRNA from 1 species